UUAUAUAAAAAGUAAACAUGCUUUUUGGCAUAUUUUUGGCCAAAAGCCAAGAAACUUAUUUUUUGGCACCAAAAUUCAAAAAACAAUAUUUAUGUUUGAAAUAAUCAUUUCUAUAAUUAUUGUCAUAAUUUAAACUUAUCAUUAUGAAUUUGUAAUACAAAUCGAUGAAAUGCAAGAUGAAUCGGAACUUAAUUACUGUUCAUCCACAUAUUCUUCCUCAACUUGUAUUGCAAAUGUUUUUCCGGAAAAAAUAAGUUACGAAAAGCAAAUGCAAUCAUCAUAUUGCAGCUUUCGAGGUAAAUUUUCGGAUCCAAAAUAUGCUUUAUUCAAAGAUCCAGAAAUGAUCCCUGCAGACAAAACUUGUGAAAAAUGUUCAAGUUCAAUUGAACCGCUUUGUCAUGUAAAACUUGAAUCAAUCGAUAAAUUAAAAGAAAGCACAAAGCAGUUACUGUGUUUGUUAGAAGAAAUACAAACCAAAACUCACGGAAAAAAUAUUCCGGAUGAGAAUCUUAAAAUCACUAAUUAUAUCAAGUCACUACCUCAAGACGACGAUGUCAAUAGCGAAGGGUUCAGUACAAUAGGUCUUAAAACAUUGGAAGCCAAUGCGAAAAACUUGGAUGCCAUUUACAUUGAGGAUGACCACGAUAGUUGUUCAGUAUAUAAUCGACUAAUAAGGAAGUGCAUUUGCCUAAACCACCCGGACUAUAACGAUUUCGUUAUACAUUUCAAUGAAGACUCCAAAUAUACUACCAGUAACCUGGGUGAGAUUAUAAAGAACAUGCGUAUUUUGAAGAAGUUUCUCUACAUGGGGGGUAAUUAUACAAGGAAUGCACUGAUGUUUUUGAAUGAAGGUAUGAUGGAGUCCCCACAUAGCGAGCGUGUGGAAAUAACGCAGGCGUGCUCGAACGCAGACAUCUGCAAUUUAUUCGACGAUCACUCGAUCGUCAUAGUUUGCAUAUCGUGGCCGUGCAUUAACAAAUACUACGGGGACUAUGUGACUCAGGCUCUAGCAGCAGGUUUUUUAUAUAAACUUGUCCAGCUAGAAGAAGGGAGAAGAUACUUAAAUUACAGUUCGAAGAUUACUAACGAUAUAAAAAAGGUUUUGAGAAAAAACAGUACCUCGAUUGAGGUAGAUACGAUAGAGUCUUUAAAUACAAUAUUAAACUUACUUAAGCCAGUAUUUGUGAAAAACUUGGCUGUUACUUACUUCAGUAAAGCGAUGUACGAAGGUGUUGGGAAGAGAACUAUAUGCGACUUGGCACAACAUCGCAAAUACAUGACAUUUGAAGAAGUCCUGAUGCACUUAGAAAUACUAGACACAUUUAGCCAAUACGAUAGCAGUCAAACAGAGUUAACUUUAUAUUUGCCGCUUUUAUUAGUACUUUUAAAACAUUUGAUAAUGGAAUACGAUAAUAGUGAAAUAAAUACAAUAGUUACGAGUAUACUCAACAGUAUUGUUUCUAAAAACGUAAAUGAAAAAGAAUCAGAAAUAUCAAAUACUGCGAAAACAGUGAUAUUAGUUGAAACAACCACGCAGGCCAGUAAAAAAAUGAAAAGUGAAGAAAUUCAAUUUCCUCCGAAGAAAGCAAACAAGCAACAGACACCAAAAAAACUUAAUAAAAGCAAAACUGGUUUAGGGGUUUCGCCUAACAAAUUUAGUCAACUUUCAAAGCGGAAAGUUUCAGAAUGGGAACCUGCCAAUGUACGAGUACUCAACAGAUCAAAAAAAUUUAACAAUGCUACAUAAGGAGCGUAGGUAGAUAUGGGUAUACCUAACGAUUAUUCCUUUAUUAAAAUAUGCGUAGGUAGUUAGAUCAUACAAAGAAAUAAAUAAUUUUUGUGUCCAUGGA